rnacentral:rRNA from 1 species
AUUGAACGCUGGCGGCAGGCCUAACACAUGCAAGUCGAGCGAGCGGCGGACGGGUGAGUAAUGUCUGGGAAACUGCCUGUUGGAGGGGGAUAACUAUUGGAAACGGUAGCUAAUACCGCACACCAUCAGAUGUGCCCAGAUGGGAUUAGCUAGUUGGUGGGGUAAAGGCCGACCACGGCGACGAUCCGUAGCUGGUCUGAGAGGGUGAUCAGUCAAACUGGAACUGAGACACGGUCCAGACUCCUACGGGAGGCAGCAGUGGGGAAUAUUGGACAAUGGGCGAAAGCCUGAUGCGGCCAUGCCGCGUGUGUGAAGAAGGUCUUCGGAUUGUAAAGCACUUUAAGGUGGGAGGCGUUACCAACAGAAUAAGCACCGGCUAACUUCGUGCCAGCAGCCGCGGUAAUAC